ACACUCCUACGGGAGGCAGCAGUGGGGAAUAUUGGACAAUGGGCGCAAGCCUGAUCCAGCCAUGCCGCGUGAGUGAUGAAGGCCCUAGGGUUGUAAAGCUCUUUCACCGGUGAAGAUAAUGACGGUAACCGGAGAAGAAGCCCCGGCUAACUUCGUGCCAGCAGCCGCGGUAAUACGAAGGGGGCUAGCGUUGUUCGGAUUUACUGGGCGUAAAGCGCACGUAGGCGGACUAUUAAGUCAGGGGUGAAAUCCCGGGGCUCAACCCCGGAACUGCCUUUGAUACUGGUAGUCUUGAGUGCGAGAGAGGUGAGUGGAAUUCCGAGUGUAGAGGUGAAAUUCGUAGAUAUUCGGAGGAACACCAGUGGCGAAGGCGGCUCACUGGCUCGAUACUGACGCUGAGGUGCGAAAGCGUGGGGAGCAAACAGGAUUAGAAACCCGUGUAGUCCCAUGA
rnacentral:rRNA from 1 species